rnacentral:lncRNA from 1 species
CCAUAAUUUAUGGCUCAUAGGCAGGUUCUUGUCAGUAUUGUCUCAAACUUAAUAAAGGGAAAUAAAAGUGAAGGCACAUUAUUUGGUACUUGGUACCAUGGGACUAUAUAAAGGCCAAGAACAUCUUUUACUACAGGACCAGAAUGCUUUUGCGUGUGCGCUAUAAAAAUAAAAGAGACGUCCUAUUCAAAAUUAUUAUUUCUUCUCUAAAGAUUUCUUUUUUUGUUGAUAUUGUGAUCGAUUGUUGUGGAUUAUCGCCAUUUGGAAUUAUGGAUCUAUUACUAUCCAUGUCAUCACUGAUGGAUCCAUAAUUUGAGUGAAUUGUGGCAUGGUCAUCUCUGCGGUGGAUGAUGCAUUCGUCUAAUUGAAAUAUACAUUACUUUAAAGGAUGGAGGACUAUAAAGUUAUUCGGUGCUCAGAGGGAGUAUCAAUUAAGCUCGUCGAGGAUUUGACUUGUUAAGGACUCUCUUAGGACACAUUGCUGCGACCCUCUUUAGUGUUGGGGAAGACUUGGUGUCAGUUUAUUUAAGCUUAAAUUAGUUGAUAUAGAUUGGGGAUAAUGAAGGCUCUAUUCCCUAAUUAACUUCAUUGCAGCUGAACCUCUAAUAUUCUCAUAAUUUCUCUCAAAGCAAUUAGUCCCACUCACAUCUUCAAUGAAGAGAUUGAACAUUUUGUUACGCUUCUUACGAUCUGUUGGGUGCUAAUUCACCCAUUGUUAUUUUCCAUAGAGAUCUAUCGCUCAAUCUAUCUGCAAUUAUAUUUACAAUCCAUUGGACUUGGGAACUGUGUUUACAAUUAUAUUAUUAAUUUCUGUAUUUUGUACGCCUAAUAAGAUAUAACGUUACAAAAUAAUUGAUUUUAGUGAUUUUAAUAAUUUUGUUGGCUUAAAUAAGAGCCGGAAUUUCAGAUGAUUUAUAUAUUAAUCAAUAAUAUGUGUAGAUAAAGCAUUUACAUGUAUAACAAAUAAUAAAAAUGGCACAAAAUGAGAAAUCUAUAAAUAUUUUUUACAUUUUAACAGACGAUAACUUAUUAAUUUUUCUUGCGGAUGGGUAGUUUUUGGAGUUUGGAGAGUGUUAAGUCAUUAAGUCGUUGCACUUGGUUUUCAUCAAAUGAAAGGUCAAAAACUGGAGGAAUAUCGCUGACUUUGAAAAGAUUAGGAUAGUCCUCACAUUUAUUCAGCUAGAUAAUGGAUUUUGCCAAAUAUCGCUGAUAUGUCAUAAACAACUCCUUUAAGACCAUUUACUUAUUUGCUUAGCUUUUGAAUGGGUAGAACUUUAUCGACUAUUCGUGCAAAAGUAUCUAAUUCAUCUUGCUUAAUCGAAGAAUUUAUCAAAUUUCAUUGUUUAAUAGCCAUUUUUGAAUCUGAGAGUAGUCUUAAAAGUCUAACUUUUUAUCGGCUUCCAGAAGUUGUUUAAUGGAGAUGUAGUAAUUAGAUCUUCCAAGGUGAUAAUAUUUUGGAAAACGAGCUUUGAUAGGAUCAGAAUUAAUUUUGCCUAAUUGAACAUUAUACAGUCCUUUAACUUCUAAUAAAUAAAUAUAGUUCAAUUAUAUCAAUAAUUGAAAACCUCAUUGUCAAAAAAAAGUAUCCUUGCUCAAGCCACACUUUCCUGAGUUUUCUCAAUAGUAAAUCCAUUUAUAAAAUUUUUCUAAGAAAACAUAAAAUGUUUUCCCACACAGAAUCUACUGUCAAUGUAAAAGUUGAAUAGCGUCAUCCUUUCUUGGGAGUGAAUAUAUUUAAAGACUGCUCCAUCAAAAACUUAAUUGGUUUUGAAGUCUUAUCUUCAAUAUCUGGAAGAACAUUCAAAAUGUCCUUUAUAUUUUUUAAUUCCCUCAAAUGUGUUGAAGUCUGAAGUUUUGGAAGACUCUUGAGAGUUGCUAAAAAUGUUCACAACCUCAGGACAGAUUCAAAUACUAUUAGAAACUAAUAAAUGACUGAUAAUACAGGAGGAUUGAAGCUUCCCUUCUUUAAAAGCAACGUUCAAACUAAUUAUUUGAACUAAGAAUUUAUGGUGUCGGACAAUAUUGCAUCAUUAAUUGAAUUAAAGGAAAAUAUCCGAAUACAACAUCCCUUCUGAUUUGCUCAUUAUUUCUGAAGAUACCCUCAUAACAUACUUAUUUAUUGAAAAACAGAAUAAAGGCGCUCCAACGAUUAACUUUAGUUUAAAUAUAGCCUCUGAUUUAACCUUUGAAAUUUGAAGAAGUAUACGAUCAUUCCGUAGAAGAUUUGGGAGAACUUAUGUAUAGGGACAAUGCCACCCCUGGGAUUAUAGGAAAAAAUGGCAAGAUAAAAACAAGGAAAAGUGUCUAAAUGGAAAAAAUGGCAAGAU